GUGGCCUAGUGGUUAGAGUGUCUGCCUCGGAUGCGGGAGGUUGUGGGUUCUAUCCCCGGUAAAGUCA